GCAGCGGUAGUUCAGUCGGUUAGAAUACCGGCCUGUCACGGCGGGGGUCGCGGGUUCGAGUCCCGUCCGCUGCGCCA
rnacentral:tRNA from 1 species